rnacentral:misc_RNA from 1 species
GAUGAAGAACGCAGCGAAAUGCGAUACGUAAUGUGAAUUGCAGAAUUCAGUGAAUCAUCGAAUCUUUGAACGCAUAUUGCGCUCUCUGGUAUUCCGGAGAGCAUGCUUGUUUGAGUAUCAGUAAACACCUCAACUUCCAUAUCUUUUUUGAAAUGGGAGUUGGACUUGAGUGAUCCCAACGCUUUUCCUCACCGAAAAGUGGCGGGUUACUUGAAAUGCAGGUGCAGCUGGACUUUUCUCUGAGCUAUAAGCAUACCUAUUUAGUCUGCCUAAAAAACAGAUUAUUACCUUUGCUGCAGCUAACAUAAAGGAGAUUAGUUCUUGUGCUGACUGAUGCAGGAUUCACAAAGACAGGCUUCGGCCGACUUUGUAAACUCGAUCUCAAAUCAAGUAAGACUACCCGCUGAACUUAAGCAUAUCAAUAAGCGGAGGA